rnacentral:rRNA from 1 species
UACGGAGGGAGCUAGCGUUGUUCGGAAUUACUGGGCGUAAAGCGCACGUAGGCGGCUUUGUAAGUUAGAGGUGAAAGCCCGGGGCUCAACUCCGGAACUGCCUUUAAGACUGCAUCGCUUGAAUCCAGGAGAGGUGAGUGGAAUUCCGAGUGUAGAGGUGAAAUUCGUAGAUAUUCGGAAGAACACCAGUGGCGAAGGCGGCUCGCUGGACUGGUAUUGACGCUGAGGUGCGAAAGCGUGGGGAGCAAACAGG